rnacentral:rRNA from 1 species
UACGGAGGGAGCAAGCGUUACUCGGAAUUAUUGGGCGUAAAGGGCGCGUAGGCGAUCUGAAAAGUUCUGUGUGAAAGCCCACAUGUUAACUGUGGAAGUGCACAGAAAACUGUUGGAUUUGAGUUCAGGAGAGGAAGGCAGAAUUCCCGGUGUAGCGGUGAAAUGCGUAGAGAUCGGGAGGAAUACCAGUGGCGAAGGCGACUCUCUGGGCAAUUCCUGACACUGAGGCACGAAGGCCAGGGAGCAAACGGG